UACGAAGGGGGCUAGCGUUGUUCGGAAUUACUGGGCGUAAAGCGUAUGUAGGCGGAUCGUUAAGUCGGGGGUGAAAUCCCGAGGCUCAACCUCGGAACUGCCUUCGAUACUGGCGAUCUUGAGUCCGGGAGAGGUGAGUGGAACUCCGAGUGUAGAGGUGAAAUUCGUAGAUAUUCGCAAGAACACCAGUGGCGAAGGCGGCUCACUGGCCCGAUACUGACGCUGAGGCACGAAAGCGUGGGGAGCAAACAGG
rnacentral:rRNA from 1 species